rnacentral:rRNA from 1 species
GGGGACUCUAGCGAGACUGCCAGCGAUAAGCUGGAGGAAGGUGGGGAUGACGUCAAAUCAUCAUGCCCCUUAUGACCUGGGCUACAAACGUGAUACAAUGGCUGGAACAAAGGGAGGCGAAGGGGUGACCUGGAGCGAAACCCAAAAAUACAGUCUCAGUUCGGAUUGAAGUCUGCAACUCGACUUCAUGAAGUGGAAUCGCUAGUAAUCGCGUAUCAGCAUGACGCGGUCGAAUACGUUCCCGGGCCUU